AAUUUGAUUUUUUAUAAACAAAAAAAUUCCUCAGAUUAACUUUACGACUGAACUGAACAGACGCCUGGCGACCUACGCCUUCUCUUUCAAAGAUUAACGAUCAUAUUCCCAACAAUUGCACUCGUUGAUUUGUUGUCUUUAAAAGCAAAACCUAAUGGCAAUUUCCUCACAAUAUUUGCUCUUCUCUACUAAAGCAACAGAUCUUCGCCGCCAUUAUAAUUUCAUCCAUAUAUUUUCGCCCAUAAAUCGUAGCCGGUAUUUCUCUUGCUAAUUCAAGUUUUUCUGAUUUAAAUGGUUAUCACCAUACCCCCAAUCAAGAAAACUCACUUUAUGGUCUGUUCAUGGAGAAAAAGGGGUUACGAUUCCUUAGCAAUGAUUAUCGUGGGGCAGAUAGCGAUUUAUUGGAAGAAUUUAUUCCGGAUGAAGGCGUGGCAGAAGAUAUCCGCAGAUUUUUACAAGAAAAAACCUAGGAAAAACUAUCUUUCAUCAACAUGUGAAGGAUGAAAAAUUUCGGAAGAAUUCAUACAUUUGUGAACAAGCUAUUGACCAUUUUUAUUAUUUACUCCCGAGGGCUAGGCAAACCAAAGUCCUCACAAGUCCCCGUGUUUCUCUCAAACAAAAAAGAUGUCAAAAAAAGAUUGAAAGAAGGAAAAGAAACUAAGGAAUAGUCAAUUUUAAUAGGUUAGGCUACUUAUAGUUGCAAAAAUAAAAUAAAAUUAGAGCCUCCUGCCAUUAGUAUGGUUAUUGCUAUGUGUGUCAGAUGGAAGUUCUAAUCCCGCAUCAACGUUCCUAAAUCACCUUUCUACUAUGUAUGCCUAUUAAGUUGUCUUCCAGUCGUUAGUACAUUAGUAUUUCUCUCAGUUGUCCCUGUAAUUUUUUAUUAUUCAGCAGAUCAGUAUGAUAGAUUUAUUUCUGCGGAAUUGCCUGACAAGGAUAAACAACCGCACCUGAAUGAAUUAGUUAUAAGGCAUAUAAUGCAUGGACCUUGCCGUGAAAAUUGACGAACAAGUCCAUGCAUGAAGGAUGAUCAAUGUAAAUUUCAUUAUCUACGACCAUUUUGUAACAAAUCAAUACAAGAAAAAGUUGGAUAUCC